rnacentral:rRNA from 1 species
GAUGAACGCUAGCGGCAGGCUUAAUACAUGCAAGUCGAGGGAGAAAUAGGGUGCUUGCACCUUAUGGAAACCGGCGAACGGGUGAGGAACACGUACGCAAUCUACCUUAUACUGGAGCAUAGCCCCGGGAAACUGGGAUUAAUACUCCAUAGUAUUACGGAAUCGCAUGAUUCUGUAAUUAAAGCUCCGGCGGUAUAAGAUGAGCGUGCGGCCCAUUAGAUAGUUGGUAGGGUAACGGCCUACCAAGUCUGCGAUGGGUAGCGGGCGUGAGAGCGCGAUCCGCCACACUGGCACUGAGACACGGGCCAG